UUUAAUGUUUGAUGUUCUAACGUGGACCCGUUAUCCGGGUUGCGGACAGUGUCUGGUGGGUAGUUUGACUGGGGCGGUCUCCUCCUAAAGAGUAACGGAGGAGCACGAAGGUUGGCUAAUCCUGGUCGGACAUCAGGAGGUUAGUGCAAUGGCAUAAGCCAGCUUGACUGCGAGCGUGACGGCGCGAGCAGGUGCGAAAGCAGGUCAUAGUGAUCCGGUGGUUCUGAAUGGAAGGGCCAUCGCUCAACGGAUAAAAGGUACUCCGGGGAUAACAGGCUGAUACCGCCCAAGAGUUCAUAUCGACGGCGGUGUUUGGCACCUCGAUGUCGGCUCAUCACAUCCUGGGGCUGAAGUAGGUCCCAAGGGUAUGGCUGUUCGCCAUUUAAAGUGGUACGCGAGCUGGGUUUAGAACGUCGUGAGACAGUUCGGUCCCUAUCUGCCGUGGGCGCUGGAGAACUGAGGGGGGCUGCUCCUAGUACGAGAGGACCGGAGUGGACGCAUCACUGGUGUUCGGGUUGUCAUGCCAAUGGCACUGCCCGGUAGCUAAAUGCGGAAGAGAUAAGUGCUGAAAGCAUCUAAGCACGAAACUUGCCCCGAGAUGAGUUCUCCCUGAGACUUUAGGUCUCCUGAAGGAACGUUGAAGACGACGACGUUGAUAGGCCGGGUGUGUAAGCGCAGCGAUGCGUUGAGCUAACCGGUACUAAUGAACCGUGAGGCUUAACCUUACAACGCCGAAG
rnacentral:rRNA from 1 species